AGAGUUUGAUCCUGGCUCAGAAUCAACGCUGGCGGCGCGCCUAACACAUGCAAGUCGAACGAGAAAGCCCGCAAGGGUGAGUAAAGUGGCGUACGGGUGAGUAACACGUGGAUAAACUACCCUCUUGUGGGGAAUACCGUUGGGAAACCGACGACAAUACCGCAUAAGCUCGAGAGAGGAAAGCAGCAAUGCGCUGGAAGGAGGAGUCCGCGGCUGAUUAGCUAGUUGGUGAGGUAAUGGCUCACCAAGGCUUAGAUCAGUAGCCGGCCUGAGAGGGCACACGGCCACACUGGCACUGAAACACGGGCCAGACUCCUACGGGAGGCAGCAGUGGGGAAUCUUGCACAAUGGGGGAAACCCUGAUGCAGCGACGCCGCGUGAGCGAUGAAGCCCUUCGGGGUGUAAAGCUCUUUCGGCAGGGAAGAUUAUGACGGUACC
rnacentral:rRNA from 1 species